GACGAACGCUGGCGGCGUGCCUAAUACAUGCAAGUAGAACGCUGAAGAGAGGAGCUUGCUCUUCUUGGAUGAGUUGCGAACGGGUGAGUAACGCGUAGGUAACCUGCCUUGUAGCGGGGGAUAACUAUUGGAAACGAUAGCUACUACCGCAUAACAAUAGGUGACACAUGUCAUUUAUUUGAAAGGGGCAAUUGCUCCACUACAAGAUGGACCUGCGUUGUAUUAGCUAGUAGGUGAGGUAACGGCUCACCUAGGCGACGAUACAUAGCCGACCUGAGAGGGUGAUCGGCCACACUGGGACUGAGACACGGCCCAGACUCCUACGGGAGGCAGCAGUAGGGAAUCUUCGGCAAUGGGGGCAACCCUGACCGAGCAACGCCGCGUGAGUGAAGAAGGUUUUCGGAUCGUAAAGCUCUGUUGUAAGUCAAGAACGAGUGUGAGAGUGGAAAGUUCACACUGUGACGGUAGCUUACCAGAAAGGGACGGCUAACUACGUG
rnacentral:rRNA from 1 species